rnacentral:tRNA from 3 species
GGUCUCGUAGCUCAGCUGGUAGAGCACCGGACUUUUAAUCCGGGUGUCGCGAGUUCAAGUCUCGUCGGGACCA